AACACGGAUCUUGAAGAAAAAAAAGCUGAAGAUCAAUGUUCAUAGGCCUGUGGGGACAAGGGCUGUCUUUGAUGAGGAAGGCAACACACAAGCUCCACUUGCUAUGUUGGCUAACAAGACGAGCGGCGAUAUACUGCUUCACCAAGAUAUUGAAGGUGUAGUGGAGGAUUCAAUCUCUUCAAGCUGGAAAAGCCAAGGCUUAGCACUUCUUCAAGUAGAGUGUUAUUUAAUGUUGCAUUCCAUGGUCGUUUAUCUUAGUCGGAACUUGAAUUAGGUGUUAUUGAAACAGGGUUUUGUAGCUACCUUAUAUACUAGCUUCUUUAACCAUGAUUGUUAAUUAUUACAUGUUUUGUAGCUUCUUUUA